UGGCUGCAGUUAGGAAUAUUCUGCAAUGCGCGAAAGCGUGACAGAUUGAGCCAGAGUGCUUUUCAAAUUGAAAAGCUUUUGUGAAAUGCAAAAAGUUUUACGAAUAAGGACUGGGUAAGACUAGUGCCAGCCGCCGCGGUAAUACUAGCGGUCCAAGUCGCAGCCAUUUUUAUUAGGUCUAAAACAUCCGUAGCUUGCUUCGUAAGUUUCUUGUGAAAUUUUAUGUCUCAAACAUAGAGCGCGCAAGAAGUACUGCGGAGCUAGAGACUGGGAGACGUAAGAAGUACAUUAGGAGUAGCGGUUGAAUGUAUUGAUCCCUAAUGGACUAACAAUUAGCGAAGGCAUCUUACGAGAACAGUUCUGACAGUCAGGGAUGAAGGCUAGGGGCGCAAAACGGAUUAGAUACCCCAGUAGUC
rnacentral:rRNA from 1 species